rnacentral:rRNA from 1 species
GACGAACGCUGGCGGCGUGCUUAACACAUGCAAGUCGAACGGAAAGGCCCCUUUGGGGGUACUCGAGUGGCGAACGGGUGAGUAACACGUGAGUAACCUGCCCUUGACUUCGGGAUAACUUCAGGAAACUGGGGCUAAUACCGGAUAGGAAUCCUUGAUGCAUGGUGGGGGUUGGAAAGCUUCGGCGGUUUUGGAUGGACCCACGGCUUUUCAGCUUGUUGGUGGGGUAGUGGCUUACCAAGGCUUUGACGGGUAGCCGGCCUGAGAGGGCGACCGGCCACAUUGGUACUGAGAUACGGCCCAGACUCCUACGGGAGGCAGCAGUGGGGAAUAUUGCACAAUGGGCGGAAGCCUGAUGCAGCAACGCCGCGUGCGGGAUGACGGCCUUCGGGUUGUAAACCGCUUUCAGCAGGGGCGAAGCUUGUGGUGACGGUACCUGCAGAAGAAGCACCAGCUAACUACGUG